rnacentral:lncRNA from 1 species
AUUUGGCCACACCCCGGUAGAAGAAAGUUUCGGCUGCCUGGCCAAGGACAAUGGUAUCUAUGUGGUGGCAAAUAUAGGGGACAAGAAGCCGUGCAAUGCCAGUGACCCCCAGUGUCCUCCCGACGGGACGGCCAUUACCAGUACAACACCAAGGUGGUGUUCGAUUCUCAGGGAAAGCUGGUGGCCCGCUACCAUAAGAUUUCCAUGUGAACACCGUACUGUUCCCCAUGGCUUGGAUGAAUGUUCUGCCACAUUUGUCAGCCAUCGAAUUCCAUUCGGCCUGAGCUAUGGGCAUUGGGGUCAAUUUCCUUGCCUCCAAUUUACAUAACCCUUUGAGGAGAAUGACAGGAAGUGGCAUCUAUGCACCAGAUUUUCCAAGAACAUUUCAUUACGAUAUGAAGACCCAGGAGGGAAAACUCCUGUCCCAGCUGGAUUCCCAUCCAUACCGCCCCGUAGUGAAUUGGACUUCUUAUGCCAGCAGUAUAGAAGCCCUCUGGACAGGGAACCGGGAAUUUAAAGGAACUGUCUUUUUUGACGAAUACAUCUUUGUGGAGCUGAAAGGAAUCACAGGAAAUUACACAGUUUGCCAGAAAGAUCUUUGCUGUCAUCUAAGCUACCAGAUGUCUGAGAAGAGGUCAGAUGAAGUUUAUGCCUUAGGAGCAUUUGAUGGGCUGCAUACUGCUGAAGGACGCUAUCAUCUACAGAUUUGCACCCCGCUGAAGUGUAAAACCCCUGAUAUACAGAGCUGUGGUGGCUCAGUUGACACCGCUGCUACCAGGUUCGAGAUGUUCUCCCUCAGUGGUACUUAUGGGACCCAGUAUGUCUUUCCUGAGGUUUUGCUGAGCAAAGUUCAGCUUGCACCCAGAGAAUUUCAGCCAAACGCUUGCUUAGUAGGAACAUCCAGCUCGCCCGAGUGUCCAUGACUCCAACAGAGACUUCCGGGGGAGAACUGCUGAAGCCUUGAUAGUGAAACCACCAGAGCACUGGAUGUCCUUAGGAGUUAGGAACUGGAAAGUCACAGUGUUGAUAGUAAGUAUUAAAUGGAGCAUCACAUGUCCUUUUUCAGUAACAGCAGAAUCUCUCGGCGUUGUGCAGCUUAGUGAAAUAUCCUUGGCAUCAUACAUCCCUCAACUGAUACUACCCCCGUGGCACAGAUGUCUGUCACACCCUCUAUGCAACGUGCCUUUCUCCAAGAGCAGUAGGGUACUUCAGAGUGACCUGUAUCACCAGCCCACUGUUUGGCAAGACAUGCCUUUUGUGGCAGACACAGUUGUUGAUAAUGCUAUCUCAUCCAAAACAUAUUUAAGUAAAGGCCAUCUUGUGCUUUUGUGUGGCAUUAACUAAUUUUCUAAGAAAAUAAGAAAGGCCACUAGGUGUAUAGAAAAAGAGUUACUCAGGGCCAGGGAUUUAGCUCAGCAGUGCCGCAGCUGCCUGGCAAGUGCAAGGUCCUGAGUUCGAUUUCUGGUACUGGGAAAAGAAAAAAAAAGAGUUAAUCAGGGUAAGCCUUAGUAAUGUCAUCUAAUAUUAAUUAAAAACAGAAAACAUGCUGAUUGUCAAUGAUAGGCUUAAAAUAUUAAGAGCUUCAAAUAAUCAAGUGCUUCUUUUCUAUCCAACAUCAGCUGUAUUUGUCACCCACUGUGGCAAAAUAAAUUACUCUCACAUUGUUAUCUUAAAACAAUAACAGUAGGAUCUAAGAGCUUCAAAUAAUCAAGUGCUUCUUUUCUAUCCAACAUCAGCUGUAUUUGUCACCCACUGUGGCAAAAUAAAUUACUACUGUUGUAGGAUCUGGAAGGGGCUCAUCUGGGUUUCUCUGGCUCAGGGUGCCUUGGAAGCCACAGUUGAGCUGUGACCAGGGCUGCCGCCAUCUCGAGGUUCUGCUGGGGCUGGAGAAUCUGCUGUAACCUCACUCACAUGGUGAUGGUGGCCCCAGGUCCUUGCUGCAAGUUGGCCACUGGUCUCUCUUCCUUCCAUAUGGGCCUCCCUGUAAGUUGCUGGAAGGUUUUCACAGAACGGUAGCUGGCUUCUCCCAGAGUGGAGAGAGAGAGAGCAAGAAGGAGAGAGACUGGGUGGAAGUCACAGUGUUUUAUAACCCAAUCACAGACGUGACGUCACUUCUGACCUUUGCCAGUGGUCACGCAGGCCAGCCAGGAAACAGUGUGAGAGAGAAUGAUGCAAAGGUGAGGAGGCUCAGGGAGGUGGAGUCCCUGUGGGCUGUCACACUGCCAGCUCCUACAGUGAAUGCGUGACUUUGUUUAUAUAUGUCUGUAUCUACUACAUAAUUUUAAAAGAUGCAGUUCUUUCCCUUUUCUUUUUGCUAUGCACUGUAUAUCUCAAAAUAUACUAACAUUUGUAUCCUAAAAGUACUAUGCCAAAGAACUUUCUGGGAUUACAUUAGAUAAUUAAAUUAGAUAAUUAACGAUCUGUACUUUUGACCCAUAGUAAAAUUUUAAGUUCCAGAAUCAAUUCAUAAAAUGUUAUCACUGGAGAAAAGGGCCCUAAAAACCUUAUCAUAUUUACUGAAUUGGCUGAGUUUUUUUUAAAGUAAGAUUUUCUCCAGAACAAUCUCUAAAAUAUAUAUUUUUAAAAAUUAAAAAAUGGCUCAAAUGAUUGCAGUGUUCUGGAUAUCAAAAAGAAUACUGAAAAAAUUCAAUUAAAAAAUCAUGUCAAUGCCAAGAGCUGCCCUAAAAUACCUCUCUUGGUGCUUAUAUGAAGACUCACAGCUCAUCCCUCACAUUGUAUCUGUUUCUCUAAUCUGUGGAUGUUCUGGGCAUUUUCCUUAUUCUCUGCCUCACUUUCAUGUGUGUUUCUGGAAAGACUGUGAAAUUCUUAGAUGAGGAAUAUAUCCUGCAUCUAUUACUAAUUCUGAGGCAGCACGCACUAGUAUAGCGUAGGAUUAUUGCUUGGAGUACUGAGAGUGCAGAAAUAAAUCUGUGUUUAAUAAUAUUCAUACCUGUAUGCAAGUGGUAUAAUUAAAGUGAAAUUGAGAAAAAUAGUAAGUAUAGGACAUGGUAACUCUAAAGAGUACUUACAUAUGAUGACAAAUAUCACUGGAACUUAAAAUACAAGGAAGGCAACCUAUAAAUCAAUAGCAGUGUAAUGCAGUUAUUACAUACACCAUUUUUAUCAUGGUAAUUUAUAGAUUAAAACUAACCAAAAUCUUAUAAUCUGGAAAAAUGAGACUAUUUAUACAAAAUCCUAUAACCUUUAAAACUGAGAUCUGCUAUUUUACCACAGUUCUUGGUGAAUCUAAGGAGAGGAACAUAGGAAAGCAAAUAAGGCUUAACAGGAAACAAUGCUGAAAAGCAAGGUUUACAAGCUUUAAAAGCAAGAUCUACUAUUUUACUGCAGUUCUUGGUGAAUCUAAGGAGAGGAACAUAGGAAAGCAAAUAAGGCUUAACAGGAAACAAUGCUGAAAAGCAAGGUAUAAAGAAAAAAUGCAGGGGAAGAAGCCUACGAGUACACUCCAUAAUCCAGUAAAACAUGGCAUCUGUUUAAAGGCUAAGAGACAAAGUUUCUUAAAACAGUAAUGCAAAAGAUGUGUGCUUCCUGACACACAUGCACACACAUGCAUGUUUAUACCCUGGCGACCACACGCACAGGCCAAAGCACAAGUGGGGAGACACACUUGGACACACAUACAGGUAAAAACAGCUGUGCUUAUACUUUUAGAAAAGUGUUUGUGAUAGAAAGUUUGCUUGGGUGUGGUUCUAUAGGAGAGAAAACAAACCAUAGAUCAUUUCAAAAGCCCCACUCAGCCUUCUGACAGGAAAAUGGGCCUGGCUGGUAUGUGAAGGGCAGGCAGGGUCCUCCCGAGCAACAGGAAGCCAGUGGUACUCACUCUUCUCCAGCCUCCUGCAUCUUGGGAGCACUUGGUGUUCUUUCCGUGUUCUGGGAUUGGCUCACCUUCUCUGCCAUAGGAGCUUGGGAUGGUGGUGGGGGAGCUUCCUUCCGGGUUCUGGCAUUAAUCCUUUCAAAGGCUCAUCUUGGAAAUCACCUGCCUGGGCAGCCAUCUGUAAUCCCUCAGAUCACGCAGAAGUCUUUCUCUGAAUUCCUAACACAUCCCACACAGUACUUGGCAGUGGUCUCACUGCUUAUGUCACAAUGCCCUCUGUCCCCGGACUACUGUGAAUUCAGAAGGUAGAGGCUGUGCUUUGCUCAUCUUUGUACUCUUAUUCUUACCACUCAUUCUUUAGGUAAUAAAUGAAUGAAGGAUGAAAAUAUAUCUUAGGGAAAGCAGCUAAUAAAUGGUAGAGACAGGACUUGACUCCAUUUUUAUCAAGCUACAGACUUUGCUCUCUUUCCAUCCCAAAAAGUUGGGCCAAUUAUAGAAAAUCUGUGCGGAAUUCAUAGUUUUAUCCCCAGCUGCA